rnacentral:rRNA from 1 species
AUGAGGAGCAGGGAUGUCAACAAUAUGGACCCGCUCCUCCAGGUGUUGCUUGGCCUGGUCAACGCCUCGGCUUCGACCAUCUCCGGUUUCUUCUCCACUCCGCCUGAUUUUUUCGUCGCGAUACCCAACGUUAUCGGAGUUCCGGUCCUACUGGCACAGUUUGUGGUCUACGUGAUGCACUGCAACCCUCAGCCAGAGCUCAACCCACAGCCGGAGCCCAACCCUCCUCCGCCGGAGCAGGAGCGCGGCCCUAUCCACACCGUCGACGUGCCCGUCCACACCGCCGAUGUGCCAAACUACGCGGCGGAUCUCCACACACUCUUCACAUGCCAGGUGUAG